rnacentral:lncRNA from 1 species
GGUCUCGGUUUGGUUAUAAGGACUUAACAUUCCAUUGUCUAUUAAGCCAAGAUUAAAACCCAUUGUCGCUUUAGACGUUCGCGCGGCAAAGUAGAGCGUCUUACAUAAGCACUUUCAAGAGACUAGAGGACAGAAAAGAAAUCUAGAAAACCGGUGAGCGUAACAGCCUAGGUAGUGCCACAAGAAUCGCCUUGAGAGUGUUUGAGGGGCUUAGUGGUGUCUUAAUAGGUUUAGUAUCUAAAGAUCCCGGUUCCACACCACAAAAUCAUCAAAUAGAAAUCCAUUCUGAGUUUAGCCUGCGUCUAGCCUAGGUAGUCUUCAUCACCACUGGUCAAAACCUUCGUUCGAGUUCGUAUCUAGUCUUCUAGCAUUAUUUUAUUAUUUUAUUUAGGAUAUUUAGAAACCCCCCCCCCCCCCCCCCCAAAUUAAUAAACAAUUUAGUAUGUCGUGUCAGUCUUAGUCUAGAUUGAGUCGUAGCGUAAUCAGUAGAGUCUCGUGGGUUCGAUACUCGGACUUGCUUUAGCUUUACUACAUUGAUCGGUUCACUUGCCGGUUGUGUGGUUUAGGGUUUAGAUCGAGUCUUAGUUUUAUAAAUUUAAAGCUUAGAGAGUCUAGGAUUAGGGUAAUUUUAGUUGUUUUAAUUAACCCACAUUUUCAGCACAUCACUCGAUUGAAGCCCUAAUUUGUUGUUAUUUUCUGCUUUGGUUUUGAUUUCAAUGAUGGAUCUUUUAUUAGUAGGGUGUGGAUGUGAAUUUAGAAAGUGAAGAUAAUCUGCUGUAAUAAAACGGAUUCUAGAAAUGCAGGUCUGACUCUAUCUAUUUUUUGAACUUGUGAAAAAUCAGUUUACAACUUGUUUUGAGUGUUUGACAAAUUCUGAGUAUUUGCGGUGGUAGUCAAUAAAAUCAGUAAAGAAAAAAACACAAUUUUGUUAAGAAAGGAGGGCACCAUGUAAGGUGAGAGUAAAAGUCUCUCAAGUUAACCUUCUGCUUUCGAACGGGUGUCUAAGGUUUGAAUCCAACUUCCUCUGGUUUCUACCAUAGCUAGGGCUGUAAACGAACCGAACGUUCAGCAAACAGUUCAUGAACCGUUCGACGGGAAGUUCGUUUGUGUUCGUUCGUUUAAUAAACGAACGAACAUGAACAAGAAAUUUCGUUCGAUUAGUUGAAUGAACGAACAUGAACAGAGGUCUCGUUCGUUCGAUUGUGUUCGUGAACGUUCGGUAAGAUAUUCGUGAGCAUUCGUUCAUAUGCGUUCAUUUAUGUUUGUAUGUUUAUGUUUUAAUUAAAGAUUUUUGUACUUUCAUAUAUUUUAUCUAUACUUUUUAUAUUAUUAAACUUUUAUUUAUUUUACUACCCUAAUAAUUAAACUAGGAAACCUUAUUCCACAUUGUUUAUACACCAUUUCCUUUUCUUUUCUCAUUAUUUACAUCGGCGAAUACGAUUGACCUCUAUUCCACAUUAAGGGAUUCAAGUUCCAGUGCUACUCCCUAGGCCAUCUACCUUUAUCCUUCGUCGCGUUCGCCAAAUUUAUUUGUGUUCGUGAACCGUUCGCGAACACGCACAUUUCCUUAAUGAACGAACACGAACAUAACAUCUCGUUCGGUAAGUGUUCAUGAACCGUUCGUGAACACAUUUAUUUCCUUAACGAACGAACACGAACAAGGCCUUGUUCGUGUUCGUUCGGUUCGUUUACAGCCCUAACCAUAGCCCUUGAAAUCCACCUGUCGCACAAGUUGCAUUUUACCAGGUCCCACUAUUGGUGGAGUCGUCGUGAGCGUUUUUCGUUCUGAAGCACUUCUGUAACCUUGGGUGCUCUAACCAUUAUAAAAAACAAUCUCGAAUUGGGUUAGGAGAAUGUGUAAAUAGGUAAUUUAAUGAUACUUGUUUUGUUAUAGUUGGUAUAAAACACCUACCCAGAAUCAAUCAUUUAACCCCUGAAUAAUCAAAUAAUCAGAAGUAGAAUUUGCAUAUUCAAGCAAUAUAAACUGCUUAUGAGAUAUCUUGCUCGUAUGGAGACAAACUAUGGAAAAGUAUCAUCUACAGGCUCUGCUUCAUUUUAGCGAACCAAGAAAUAGAUUGAAGAGUUACAAAGAAAGCGUAACCCUGCAUAUGGUUACUGUUUCGGUGGCCAACUUUGUGUGAGUGUUCUGUAGGCUACAACAACAGAUGUUGGGAUCGAAUGUGAGCCCUGUGAUGGAGGAGGACUGUUGCUUUGUGAUUUCUGUAAAGCUCAAAAGACAAAUGUAAAAUCUGAAACAAAUCGCUUCUAUUGUAGAUGCCCAUCUUGCAAAGCGGUUGGGUAUGUGUUGUAUCCUAAGUGCAAGGUGUUCAAAUGUGUUACUUUUCCUGACCAAAGUGAUGUUGAAAGCUCAAGAUGAUUAAAAAGGACUUCGACAUUAGCUUGUGUGUGCCAUCUUCGAGGUCUUGUAUGUUCUCAACACACUCAUGCAGACAUUUCAAAAUAAAGUGCUUGCUCAUGCUGUCACAAGUUAGAUAAAAUGGUUUAACGACGUAUUACGGACCUAUCGUAACAUUUAUAUUUUCAUGGUCAUAUCAAUGGUCAAGAUCCAACUCUUGUUUCUCUUGUUAAGUUGACAAGCCUUUUGAUUAUUUAUGAUUUUACUGCCUUGUAGUUUACAUUUGUUUCAUGUAUUAAUCAAUUUGGCACUUUGUUUCAUGUAUUAAUCAAUGGUGACGUAUGUGACAUUAUGUAUGAUUUUACUGCCUUUUAGUUUACAUUUGUUUC